rnacentral:lncRNA from 1 species
CACUAAGAGGAGAUAACAGCAACCAACCACAUCUGUUACUUCAGGAAACACACGCAUCGGCAGUCUAGGAGGAGGUGAACUUGGUGACUGCCUUGGUGCCCUCGGAGACAGCGUGCUUGGCGAGCUCGCCAGGGAGGACGAGGCGGACGGAGGUCUGGAUCUCCCUGGAGGUGAUGGUGGGCUUCUUGUUGUAGCGGGCGAGCUUGGCCGACUCCCCGGCGAGCUUCUCGAAGAUGUCAUUGAUGAAGGAGUUCAUGAUGGACAUGGCCUUGGAGGAGAUGCCGAUGUCGGGGUGGACCUGCUUCAGCACCUUGAAGAUGUAGAUCUUGUACGUCUCCACGCUCUUCUUGGCNNNNNNNNNNNNNNNNNNNNNNNNNNNNNNNNNNNNNNNNNNNNNNNNNNNNNNNNNNNNNNNNNNNNNNNNNNNNNNNNNNNNNNNNNNNNNNNNNNNNNNNNNNNNNNNNNNNNNNNNNNNNNNNNNNNNNNNNNNNNNNNNNNNNNNNNNNNNNNNNNNNNNNNNNNNNNNNNNNNNNNNNNNNNNNNNNNNNNNNNNNNNNNNNNNNNNNNNNNNNNNNNNNNNNNNNNNNNNNNNNNNNNNNNNNNNNNNNNNNNNNNNNNNNNNNNNNNNNNNNNNNNNNUCUCCACGCUCUUCUUGGCCUUGCUGCCCUUCUUCCGGCCCCUCGUCUUCGCCUCGCCGCCGGCCUCCUUGGAGGCCGUCUUGCCCGCCGGUAGCCGCUUCUCGGCCUUGGGCUUCUUGCCUGCCGGGGUCUUCUCUGCUGCCUUCUCCACCUUGUUCUCGGCGGCCGGCUUCUUGUCUGCCUUGGGGGCCAUGGCUGCGGCUGGAGCUUCGGAGGUGAGAGAGGGAGUGAGGUGUUUCGCUCGGAGGUGGGGAAUUGCAGAUGUGAAAUGAGGAUCGGGCCGGCGAGAUUAUAUGGUGGGGAGGAGGUCGCGCUGAUUGGUGGAGAGGCCGGUGCCCUGGAUCGGUAAGCUGAAGUGAUCCCAGCCGUUCACAGAUCCAGGGGAUGGACGGGCCGGAUGCGCUUCGUAGCGGAUUGAUGACCUGGCUCAAAUGGCCGGCGGGAAUUUUAUGACUCUCCACGUACUGCACCUAGGUCCAAGCUACCGGUGAUACACAGUUUGUGUGUGUGGGAAACCGGUGGUACAAGGACAAGGAUGGUAUUACCACAUUUUUUAAUGAAUAAAUGUAAAAUAUCUGGAUUCCAUGCAGAGCCUAAGGAAAAUGAUGGUACCACAUUUUUGAAUGAGUGAACAAAAAAGGUCUCUACUCUUAUAUACUCCCUCCAUUUUAAAACGUAGCGCAUAUUUUAUUUUCUAAAAGUCAAAAAUGCUUAUGUGGUCCAAAGUUUAUAGAAAAAAUAUUGACAUCUAUAAUAUCAAACUCAAACAAAACAAAUAAAAAAUGAAUCUCAUGAUCGAUAUAAUGAUACUAAUUUUGCACUACGAAUAUUAUAUUUUUAUCUAUGAACUGUGUCAAACAUAGGCUUGUUUGACUUUAAAAGAAUAUAUUAUGCACUGCAUUUUGGAAUGGAUGGGGUAUAGAUCAUCUUAUAGAGAUUUGAGUUACAGUCGUUGACAGCUAAUUCACGCUCACUAAUAUUACCACACAAGUUAUCGCGGCGGUCGUCUUCCCUUAUGUAUGGUUGAUUCAAUUUGACAUGUUUCUGAAAUAAUAAUUUUACUUUGGACAAUGUUAGAGAUUAUAAUGGAACGAGUUCAUUUUAAAGGACUUACCAAUAUUGUACAUUUAAAUAUCUUGUUAUUUUGAAUGAUUGAAGGUAGUUGAGCAAAGUCAUUUGUGUGUUUGGUUAAAGGGGUGGAUAGGUUGUUGUGGUGAACUCUAUGAUAGAGCUCCUAGCACUUAUAGAUGGCAAACAAUAUUUACAUCAAGGCAAGAGAGCUUCAUCUUGGUUCUCCAUCAACGCAAGAGAACUUCAUGUGCGAGUGCAUAAUAUAUGAGAGACGCUCAACAUUUUAAUCAUAUAUUGGCUCUUUUAUUAGACCAUCAAUAAUGCAUAUGAGAGACGCUCGACAUUUUCAUCAAGGUCUUCUCCUUUCAACGACUCAAAGAAAAAGAAAAGAAUUUUAGAGAAACACACCGAAGUUUUUUCUGAAGUUUUUUUUUAAGAAAACAAACAAACAAUGGAAAAAACGUAAAGACUAUUUACAAGCGAAUCUCCUAACAAGCAAAGGAAAUAAUUUUUGGUUUCGUUUUAAUACUACAACUAAUUAAUCAGGAAAGAAAAAAAACUAGAAAUAAUUUUGGAUUUUUCAAAAAAAAAUCAAACACACAAUAAGAAAGCGGAAAAUAAAGCUAACAUGGAUAUACAAUGAAAGAGGAUGAACACCGACAAUUUAUAUGAAGCGUGUGAACAUGAAUGUAAUAUCGAUGGAAAAUACGUACUCCCCGAGCCUAGGCAUUUGCCUAACUUGGUGGUCACCAUUCGUAGUAGCCAUCUGGUCCGGAAAAGUACUGAGGCUGAGGCACGUGAGCAUCCCAUGUGUGAGCAGCGACUUUCACCUCAGCCAGCUCCUUUCGAUAAGCGAUUAUGUCGACUGACAAAUGUUGUAUAUGUUUCUGGCAUGAUAGUUAAACAAAGAGGGUGCAUGCAACACAAUAAGGUCAUGAGUAUUCUUGAUGUAUACUAAGUUAAAACAAAUAUGCUGCGGGGGGUAGGUUCAUGAGUAAACUUAUGCUCUAUCAUGGACUGGUGAUCUAGAUAAACCUUAGGCAAUAAGUAAUCAGUUUGGCGUAUGUCCACUUUAAAGUGCCUUGCUAAGCGAGUGGCAUAAAUACCACAAUGAACCUUGCCCUUGGUUCGGUUAGGUGCAAGUGGUGUACGACAAUAGCUCCUAGGUUGUAACUGCUAUCACCAUAAAGCGUGCGAUGCAAUAUAGAAAUGGUGGGGGCCCUAAGACCACCACUCUCACUCGUAGUAGUUAUACAUUCCCCAUGGAUACAACAAAGUAAUGCAUAGACAAGAAAUAUAAACUGGUCGCCCUAGCAUUUGCUACGCCCCUAGUUUCUCCCAAAUUUAAGGUAGGGAUGAAGCUCUCCAACUCCUUAAUUUAGGGUCACGCAUUGCUCUGUCAAAAGGAAGCAAUCACAUUUCACAAAUUUCACAUAGUGGUAUAUCAUAAUGCAUUGCAUAUAAGUCAAAGUGUACCAUGGGAGUAUCAGGCCCAUUGUUAAAAAAAAAGUUUUGCACAAAGGAAUUCAUACGGAGAUAGUAUUGGUCACACUUAUCCGCAAGGAAAUUGGUCAACCCGACAUUUGCAAUGAAUUGCAUGAACUCUUGAUGAAAACCUGCCUUGCUCAUGAAAGGGAUGUGUAUCCAUUCACAUGGCCUAACUUUCGUGUUGCGAAAGAUAUGGAUGCCAUGGUCCUGGAUCCUCCCAAUAACUCCUUUGGGGCUUCGGCUUGAAGAACCUCUCCUUAGGAAAUUCAUUUUUCUACACAAAAAAUUCUCAAUGGGGAUAUGCAUAUCCUCGACAAUAAGGGUAUAAUACUUCUUCUUGACAGUAGGAAGAGAAAUUUUAGAACCUCCAAUGGUGACUGUGGCAAUUGGCUCAGUGAUAUUUAUAUUAUUAACCAAAGUUUGCUUCUUCGGAAAGUGCACGGUAUGUUGUUUUCCAUUUAUAUGAAAAGUGACUUUGCUUUUGUUGCAACCAAUAACAGCCCCUGGAGUGUUCAAAAAGGGUCUACCAAGGAUGUUCAACAUGUUGUCAUCCUCAGGCAUAAUAAGAAUAAAGAAGUUUGUUAAAAUAGUAACAUUUGCAACCACAACAGGAACAUCCUCGCAAAUUCCAAUAGGUAAAGCAGUGGAUUUAUCAGCCAUUUGCAAUGGUAUCUCAGUAGGUGUAAGCUUACUGAAAUCAAGUCUUUUAUAUAGAGAGAAAGGCAAAACACUAACACCGGCUCCUAAAUCACAUAAAACAAUCUUUAACAUAAAAAAAUUUAAUGGAGCAAGGUAUUGUGUGUAUACCCGCAUGUGCCAAGUUUGUAGGCACUCCACCAUCAAAAGAAUAAUUAGAAAGCAUAAUAGCAUUGACUUUAUCCUAAGAUCGUUUGCUUAGACAUAAAGUCAUCCACAACGUCUUCAAUCACUUUCUUGGAGCUAGCUCCACCCCUCGCUGAUGCAGCACUCUGUCGUGCUACCCUCACCUCCGGUAUAAGGCCCCACAUACACUUCAUCCAUCCAAAGUUGAAGAUAUUCUUUUUCAACAAUUCCGCGUACGUAGGGUACCUCUGAAAAUUAGAAACAACAAUAAAAAUAAUAAUUACAUAAGAGCAUGGGAUCUAACUGGGUACAAUCUGAAAUGAAUUAUCAAUUACCUUAAUGUGGUGCUCAUGUUGCUUAUGUGGUAAGCUCAUUCUUGGUUUGCCAACAAGUAAAUGCCUACCAGUAACGCGGGGCACUCAUAUGUUUUAGUUCAACAAUCCUAUCCCACCUUUGCUGAAUCUCCUCUAAGUUGCUUUUUGAGCACUUGUUCGGGAGCCUCGGACGGGGAAAACACUUACCCAACUUCGUACGGUACCUAUCACUACAAACUAAUUCUUCAAAACACACACCUCCCCUAAUAGGCAUUUGGUUUCUGACGACAUUGUACAAGAGCAAAUGAGACAUAAGUGGAGUAAUAUCGCGGAAAUUGUCGCCUGACAUGACUGGAAAUAUUGCUAAGGAAAGAUGCAGAAGAUAACAUGCGACCGGGCGGGGUUAUAGAAUGAGGGUAAGGGGUUGGAGGGAAAAUCUAGCAAAAAGGAUGGUGGAAAAAUAUGAGCGGGAAAAAAUGGGCGGAAAAAGAACGGGAACGUUAAAUGGUUAAGGUGGAAACAAUGUACUAGUCAGAAAAACAAAUUGAACAAAAAAUACUCUUCAGCCUAGAGGACACCAAAAAACAAUUGAGUUUAAGUUAGAGAUAAGGAGAUAAGGAGAUAGAGAUAGAAUUAGUUUAAACCACAUGUAACUUGUCUUGUACUUCAAGCCUCUACCCCUCAUGUACUCCUAUAUAUACCCCUAUAAGGGUUAGAUCAAUACAACACAAUAUACAAAACAACAACAAUAUUCAGCCUUACACAAUUUCCACACGGGGGGCGUUUGCUUGAUUCAACAACCGUCCAAACCUGACAAACUAUUUGAUUGAUUUUGGGUUGUAUAUGGCCCUGAAACUCUCUGCCGCACAUUCGAGUUGUUAUGGUCGAUUUAAGCAACUCAGACUUUGGUAAUUCCUGGUUGAUUUACAGAACAGGCAACUGAAAAUUGGCAGAGGUGAUGUCUCUUUCCGCGUUCUAAAGCAAAAUCAUAGGCAAGCAAAAGAUGACCAAAUUGGCAGAGGUGCCUCCUAGUCCUGCAGAUUCAGGGUCUUGACUUUUGGAGACCACCGCUGCGCCUUCACAUUUUUCAGUUGCGCCUUCACAUUGUCUAGGUCACGCAGGUGCACACUUGUAUUGAACUUAAACUUCUCGAUCGAAGAUUACGAAAAAUAAAUAAGUAAUCCAAGAUUAAGAAAACAGACAUGCAGGUUUGGCAAUGUAAAACAGAGCAUCAUCUUGUUUUAGCUCAAAAUUAAACUAAAAGUACCACUGCAAGUAUUUUGGAACGGGGGUACUUUACAAGAAAUGGACAACUCACAUUUCCUAUUUUCAGGGUAACACUCUCAUGUAUGACACCAAGCUACUCGAGUACAAACAAUUCUCAUUUUGCCACGUUAAUGAUCCAAACUCUUUUUUGCCGGGUAUAAUCAUCAGUCAGUGGCAGCAGGUAUUUACGCCCGGUCAAUUGAAGACUAGAUUCUGCACCUAAUGCAGAAACGGAACCUAAUGCUGGAGGAUCAAGAAUCUGCAAACUUACUUGCAUUGUCAGCAAUGAAGGCACGAUCAUGGCAGAGAUUAGUUUAAGCACAUAGUGAAAAUCAAAAUCACCAAUCAUGGCACAGAAUUGCAUAACCAUUUCUGAAUCUCUGUUGGAACAACAGAACAGUUCGCACUACCAACGAGGGGUCGGCAAGCAUUAAGCGAUUCCCAUGAAAUUCAGUACUCCAACAUUAACAUUCAGAUAGAUCAACAACUUCAGUUAUCACAACCAAACUAGCCAAGCCAACGAAGCGUUGGCAAUCAUCCAGCACGCAGGCGGCUACUACUACCACUACUUGGAGAUACAUAAGCAGAGUCAACGACCACUACAUUUGUCACAGCAGGCGACGCAUCAUCAGCCUAGGAGGAGGUGAACUUGGUGACUGCCUUCGUGCCCUCGGAGACGGCGUGCUUGGCGAGCUCGCCGGGGAGGACGAGGCGGACGGAUGUCUGGAUCUCCCUGGAGGUGAUGGUGGGCUUCUUGUUGUAGCGGGCGAGCUUGGCGGACUCGCCGGCGAGCUUCUCGAAGAUGUCGUUGAUGAAGGAGUUCAUGAUGGACAUGGCCUUGGAGGAGAUGCCGAUGUCGGGGUGGACCUGCUUCAGCACCUUGAAGAUGUAGAUCUUGUACGUCUCCACGCUCUUCUUGGCUUUGCUGCCCUUCUUCCGGCCCCUCGUCUUCGCCUCGCCGCCGGCCUCCUUGGACGCA